rnacentral:rRNA from 1 species
AAUGAACGCUGGCGGCGUGCCUAACACAUGCAAGUCGAGCGAGAAAGUGGCUUCGGCCAUGAGUACAGCGGCGAACGGGUGAGUAACACGUGGAUAACCUGCCUGGAAGUGGGGGAUAACUCGGGGAAACCUGAGCUAAUACCGCAUACGCCUUCUGGACUGCGGUCCAGACUGGAAAGGUUGCCUCUUCUUCGAAAGCUAUCGCUUCCAGAGGGGUCCGCGCCUGAUAGCUAGUUGGUGAGGUAAUGGCUCACCAAGGCGACGAUCAGUAGCCGGCCUGAGAGGGUGAUCGGCCACACUGGAACUGAGACACGGUCCAGACUCCUACGGGAGGCAGCAGUGGGAAUAUUGCGCAAUGGGGAAACCCUGACGCAGCAACGCCGCGUGGAGGA